UGAGGAAUAUUGCACAAUGGGCGCAAGCCUGAUGCAGCAACGCCGCGUGCGGGACGAAGGCCUUCGGGUCGUAAACCGCUUUUCUGGGGGAAGAGCAAGGACGGUACCUCAGGAAUAAGUCUCGGCUAACUACGUGCCAGCAGCCGCGGUAAAACGUAGGAGGCGAGCGUUAUCCGGAUUUACUGGGCGUAAAGCGCACGCAGGCGGCUCUGUUAGUCGGACGUGAAAGCUCUCGGCUUAACCGGGAGAGGCCGUUCGAUACUGCGGAGCUUGAGGUAGGGAGAGNAAUGCGGAAUUCCCGGUGUAGUGGUGGAAUGCGUAGAUAUCGGGAGGAACACCUGUGGCGAAAGCGGCAUUCUGGCCCUCACCUGACGCUGAGGUGCGAAAGCGUGGGUAGCAAACA
rnacentral:rRNA from 1 species